AGGGUCAUUAUGUAACUCGGUGAACGCUUUAAAAUCACAGUCACGACAACAAAUGACAGCGAUUUUUCGUUUUUGCGAUCAUGUAACACACAUCUCCCACCGAAAUGACGUCAUCUUGGAUCGUUCUCUGUCACGGUCACUUGUAGGGAUUUAUCCAAGUUAUAACGCAGUUUUUACGUAUCGAUAGUCAGUUUAAGCGAUUAUGUAAGCCUAGUGAUCAUACAACUGGGUGACACAGAAGUUGUCAAAGUCAAUCGCUAUAGAAACUAAUACCGAGCAGUGUUUUAAUAAAGUUUACUUGACGCCUGUGAUUCAAUAAUUACAAAUAAAAGUACUUUUAGGAUUUUUUUGAAUUUUGUACUAUACCUUGUAAGUAAGGUAUUAGUUUGUAAGUCAAUAAAAUCAGAAUUAGAAAAGUUUUUCAUGUAAAAUAUGACGAAAGUUGAGAAUAUAUAGUAGGUACCUACCUACAUACUUAUUUCAUAAAGCAGAAUUACAGUUUUAGAGUUAGUUGAAGUGAAUUUAAUUAAUUGUGUUAUUUUUGUAGGGUUUACCGACAUUGCCAUGUACAAUACAAUGCAUGUAGCAUUUGUAUUGUACGCGGAAACGGAACGAAAAAGAUGUCUUUGUCGAGUUCAUUGCAAAACUUUCGUGUCGCGAUACCAGCAGGUUUUAGAAGAAAUACAAAGUCUUUGAACAACUGCUGUUCGCAAUGAAUUAGAGAUAAGUCUUGGCAGCUUUAAACUUUUAUGCCAAUGGAUCAUACAAAUGGCUUUGUCAUGGCUAAGCCAUCUUUUAGCAAAUGCCUACAUGAAGUCGCUGACGCUCCUGAAUACCCCAGCUGUUUAAAAAAAAUGUGUUAAGUUCCCUUUGCAUUAAACACAAAAUCAUUAUAAAUAAAUAUGUGAUGCCAAUCUAAUAAUAACAUAGUGGAUGCUCAAUUUGGUGGUGCAUCUUAUGACUUGUACAUAUGGAACCAGUGCAAUAAGACCACUUGAGGAAAACCUGCCCAAUAGGGACCGCUGUUGGUUGUUAGGUGACCAAUGUUUGCAUGAUGACCCCCAUCUUGGGAGCUGCUCCUAGAUCCCAUGAAGAUAUGGACAACAUUGCUGUGUCAGAAAUACGGUGGAGCCUUGUAGUUGGGUGCAUAUUGUAAAAUGUUUCCUCACUCCAAAACCAUGAACUCUGGUUUCCUAAACCCUCAAGCUAUGCAGCCGAAGGAGGAGACUUAUCACAGGAGAAUCACUAAUAAUUUUGAAGAAGUGAAGAGCUUAACAAUGUUUCAACCAACACCUAAAGAAGCUUUCACUUGGCUGUUAGAUCAAGGGCUGGAUACAGAAAACAGUAAUCCUUGUGAUGGCAGUAUUGUCCAAGGAUUCCUCACCAUGAUACCAAGUUGCUAGAACCCUCAAGCUAUGCAGACAAAGGACUGGAUAUAUUUUUUCGUGACCAAGCCUUCUGUAUAAUUAUUUAUACUUAAACCAUACAAAGCACUAUCUAGCCCCAAAGUAGGCAUACAGAGUAGCUUGUGUUGUGGGUACUAAGAUAGUUGAUAUUAUAAUAUUCAUUUACAUUUAUAUACUACCUAUAAAUACUUAUAUAAUGUAGGUAUAAAUACACACACACUGGAAAAAACCCAUGCUCUUCACACAAAUAUUUUCCAGGUGUGGGAAUCGAAACCAUGACCGUGGAUGCAGGAGCACUACUUACUGCGCCACGCGUAUGUGUUUUUAUUUUGAAGCAAAUUAUUAAAGUUGAUAAUUCAAAUUGUAGUCAUGUUUUUAAUUAAUCUGUAAUUAAUUUUUAAUUUACAUUUUUGUUAAAUAUUUACCUAUACUUCAGUCUAUUUUUGUUAGAGGGGGUAUCUAUAUGUGUAAGUAGGGUCGUUUCUUGAUUAAAUUAAACUAAAGAAUGAAAGAUAUAUAUUAUAACAAAAUUUGUCAACAACAAUAUAUUAAGUCUGAAUAAAAAAUACACAAGUAAAUAUAUUUUUUAUUUUUAAGUAAUAGAUGUUACACAAAUAUAGAGUAUCUACUUUAACUACCUGGCCCUACCUGCUUAACAUUAAACAACAUUGUUUUUAAUCAAAUCAUUAUUUAUUUAUUUCCUACAAUGUGGUAGGUACAUGUUUUGUUCUUAAAAUUAUUGAAUUGUAUAGAUAAACAACUAAUGUAGUAUUAAAUUUUUUCUUUUACAAUUACUUAAAUAAUCAUCAUCAUCAUCAUCAUCAUCAUCAUCAUCAUCAUCAUUAUAAACACAUAUUCGGCUCACUGCUGAGCUCGAGUCUCCCCCAGUAAGAGGGGUUAGUGCCUACCCGCACUCGGGAGACCCCGCACUGGAAAGCGUGGUUGGUCGGUUGGUUGGAUGUUCGCGGCUCAAGAUCGUUGUGCUUGGAGGUCCAUGUAAGAGGCCUAUGUCCAGCAGUGGACGUCUAUCGGCUGAUAAGGUAAGGGAAGGCCAAUGCCUAACCCCUCUCAUUCUGACAGGAGCCGAAUAUGGGCCAGCAUAUUUGGAUUACAUUGGCAGACAUCACAUAUGCAGAGAAUUAAGAGAAUUCUCUGGUAUGCAGGUUUCCUCACGAUGUUUUCCUUCACUGUUUGAGACACGUGAUAUUUAGUUUCUUAAAAUGCACACAACUGAAAAGUUGGAGGUGCGUGCCCCGGAACGGGUUCGAACCCACACCCUCCGGAAUUGGAGGCAGAGGUCACAUUCACUGGGCUAUUAGGGAUAAUAAUAAUAGUUAAAUAAUAUUUCCUCCUAAUAAUAGAUAAUAAAACAUAUUUUGAUGUGCAAUUUUACAAUAAAAUUUUUAUCUAAUACUAUGUAAUACUGAAAUUAACCAAAUGAUAAUAAUCAUAUUCUUUAUAUACAGUGAUGUCAUAAUUAACUAUAUUAAAUUAAAAUGAAAUUAUA